GGCCCGAACAGCUGAUUUCAGACAGUUGUAUUUGAGCCGCAGAGAAGAGCAGAGGUCGUUCAGCCUGUGUCCGUGUUUCGACAUACUUCUCGAGCAGAUACAUAUCAAAGAGCCAAAGCAGCACCAGCGGUGACGACAAUGACCAGUGCGACGCCGAGACCGGUGACCCAACCCAUCCUUCUUAAUGCCAAAUCCAGGCCCAACCACAAAUCCAAUCAGACCGCCGGAGCCUGAAACACACGGAGUAAAUCCAUGGAGAGCAUGAUCCGAUUACUGUUACAGAACCGAGAUUAUUCGAGGAUUAAGAGACCUUCUAGAGAGAUCCACCUUUAUCGAUGGUUACAUCUGAUGGUGUCUCAUUGGUCAAUGCUCUCACGAUGGGUCAUAGCGUCAAUAAAAAAAAAAGGAUUUUUAUAUCGUACGAGUAGUUCAUAAUAAAUCAUUUCAUAUUUUUGGAUUUUUUG